CUUUCUAGUUUCCUUCAGAAACAUGAAAGAAAUAAUACUAGACAGAAACCCUAUAAAUGUAAGAAAUGUGGUAAAGUCUUCCGUCAUUUCUGCUCCAUGUGAAGACAUGAAAGAACACAUAGAGAGAAAUCCUGUGACUAUAAAAAAUGUGGUAAAGCCUUCAAUCAAUACAGUUCCCUUAGAAGACAUGAAAGCUCAUACUGGAGAGAAACCCUACGAACGUCAAAAAUGUGGUAAAUCCUCCAGUCAUUUCAGUUACCUUUAAACACAUGAGAGAACUCAUACUGGUGAUAAACUUUAUGAAUGUGAAAAAUGUGGUAAAACCUUCAGACAUUUCAGUUCCCUUCGAACACAUGAAAAAACUCAUACUGGAGAGAAACUCUAUGAAGGUAAAAAAAAAAAAAAAAAAGUGGUAAAGCCUUUAGUCGUUUCAAUUACCUUGAAACACAUGACAGAAUUCAUACUGGAGAGAAACCUUAUGAUUGUAAGACAUGCGAUAAAGCCUUCAGAUAUUCCAGUUCUGUAGGUAAACAUGAAAUAACAUACUUCAUAGAAAUCCUAGGAAUGUAAGGAAUGUGGGAAAACAUUCAAUUAUCUGAGUUAUCUUUGAAAACAUGAAAAAAAUUAUACUGGAGAAUAACCAUAUGUAUAUGAGAAAUGUUGUAAAGUCUUUGUAUGUUCCAGUUCCCUUUGAACACAUUAAAAAAACUCAUACUGAAGAAAAACCUAUGAAUGUAAGGAAUAUGGGAAGGCAUGUAAUUUUGCCACUUCCCUUUUAAAAUAUAAAACUCAUACUGGGGGGAAAAUAUGCAUGUAAACAAUGU
rnacentral:lncRNA from 10 species